UACAGAGGGGGCAAGCGUUGUUCGGAAUUACUGGGCGUAAAGGGCGCGUAGGCGGCCUGCUAAGUCGAACGUGAAAUCCCUGGGCUCAACCCAGGAACUGCGUCCGAUACUGGUUGGCUUGAAUCCGGGAGAGGGACGUGGAAUUCCAGGUGUAGCGGUGAAAUGCGCAGAUAUCAGGAAGAACACCCGUGGCGAAAGCGGCUCUCUGGAACGGUACUGACGCUGAGACGCGAAAGCGUGGGGAGCGAACAGG
rnacentral:rRNA from 1 species